rnacentral:rRNA from 1 species
GAGUUUGAUCCUGGCUCAGAGCGAACGCUGGCGGCAUGCCUAACACAUGCAAGUCGUGCGGGGGGGUUUCGGCCCCCAGCGGCGGACGGGUGAGUAUCGCGUAGGAACGUGUCCUGAGGUGGGGAACAACCCCGGGAAACUGGGGCUAAUGCCGCAUGUCCCCUUCGGGGGAAAGCCUUCGGGCGCCUUGGGAGCGGCCUGCGUCCGAUUAGCUAGUUGGUGGGGUAACGGCCUACCAAGGCAGCGAUCGGUAGCUGGUCUGAGAGGACGAUCAGCCACACUGGGACUGAGACACGGCCCAGACUCCUACGGGAGGCAGCAGUGGGGAAUAUUGGGCAAUGGGCGAAAGCCUGACCCAGCAAUGCCGCGUGGGUGAAGAAGGUCUUCGGAUUGUAAAGCCCUUUCGGCGGGGACGAUGAUGACGGUACCCGCAGAAGAAG